rnacentral:lncRNA from 1 species
UUUAUGUUCAAGUGCUAUUUCUUUAUGGCACUGGGGAACAAGCAUUUCAAACAAUUUGGUGUCAAUCCGUACAGGGAUACAUUCUCCUCUAGGGGUGGUCUCCAGUCCUCUCUCAUGAGGGAGCAUGCUCCCCUACCUCAUUGAAGGUGCCUCAGGGAUGAGAAAUUGAGACCCACCCAGUGUGGUGAAUAAACCCGGACUCUCAGCAAUGCAAAAAAAUAAAAAAGAAACUGGCCAGCAAUCUAGCUUAAAGGAUCUUCACAUACUGCAGCGACAACUCUGUGCACAGACCAAGGAAGGAGAAGCCGCAGGAGCUGUCUUUCAGCACAGGUACCACCCCUAGAAUUUCCCGUACAUCAGCACCAGCCUGCAAACCACGUCCUCAUCAAAAGCUAGAAAGAAGAAACUCAAGCCAGCCUGGGAAGAACCCUAUUUUAUGCUGUUAACCACUGAGACUGCCAUCUGCACAGCUGAGAAAAAAAAAAAAUUGGACCCACCAUACUCAAGUCAAGAAAACAUCUUCCUCUCAGAAUCAUGGGUUACUGUACUAAGAUCAAGCCCUACUAAGUUAACGUUAAAGAAAGAUUAAUUUUCAUAUACGUUCUAUAUUUCUUCCUUUCCUUUCCUUAUUCUGUUACUAGCUCCUUUAUUAAUAAUAUAACUAAGUCUGACUCACCUAAGUCUGACUCACCUAUUGCCUUUAAUACUUGCUCUGUCAUACCUUGAGGAAAUGUAAAAGAUCAACAACAACUAGCCUUUUCACACAAAUAUUUAUGCCCCAGCACUCUAGUUGACACAGUUACCCCUAGCACUCAUUGUUGUAAUGACCUGCAGCCAAGACGCUGAUCUUCUGCUCCUACCGCCUGGCAACCUUGUAGUAAAUGGGACUACAUCCCUUAAACUACCCAGGAGCAAAGCUGGAUUUCCACGAAAAGGUUUCUGCAGAUCUAAAACCCCUCAUCUAUUUCACUAAAAGGACUACCCCUUCUAACUGUCAGCCUUAUCUAUAUAACCCUGUCCUUCUCUUUAUCACCCCUUCCACCUUAACUAACUCUAGACCUGCCCUUAGUCACUUCUAUGGUAUAAGAAUUGACAUAAAUAGAAAAGACUCCCCGACCCCAGGUAUUUUAAAAAUAUAUAUUAUUCCGCCAUCUUCCCCUUCUUCGGUAGCCUCAGAUCUAGAUCCCACAACAGUUGCUCCUACAUCUAAUAAAGCUAGGGUGUCUAUUGUAAAAAUAAGAGAUCUAAAACAGACCUUAGCCAUCAAGACAAAAUAUCAAGAUGCAAAUGCCUGGCUGAAAUGGACUAAAUAAUCCAUUCGCACUUUAAAUAAAAGCGAUUAUUAUACUUGUACACACCGUAGGCCUGAGGCCCAGAUUAUCCCCUUUCCACUCCGAUGGUCUCCUUGUCGACCAGAUAUGGACUGUAUGGUGGCUGUUUUUCAAAAUCCCACAGCUUGGGAUAAUCCAACAUACUGAGCUCUCUCUGCUAUAUCCUGAAAUUCAACACCCUGCGGGUCAACCCCUGAGGGCAAUCCAGCUUCCACUUCUGAAUGCCAAGUUUACUUCAUGCCUCUCACGGCAGGGGUAAAAUUUAGUGUUCCUUGGAAGCAUAAAAGGAUGCAAGGAGCUUAAGCCUUUCCAAGAGCUUGCCCAUCCGUCCUCCCCACACACAUUUAUGGUGGUACUGUGGAAGACCUUUACUGGACACUCUGCCAAAUAAUUGGAGCAGUACUUGUGCUCUAAUCCAAUUGGCUAUCCCCUUCACCCUGGCAUUUCAUCAAUCUAAAAAGGUAAAAACAAAACACCACAGGCCAAGAAAAACUCUUUAUAAGUCUUUUAAUCCUCAGGUUUACAUAAAUGCUAUUAAGGUCCUGUGAGAAGUGCCAAAUAAGUUUAAAGCACAAAAUGAAACAGCUGCAGAAUUUAAAUGCAUGUUAUUCUGGUAAGUAUUAAAAAAAAGUAGACUAAAUAAACUAUAUCUAUUACAAUCAGCAAUAAUUCAUAAAUUACACUGAGGACACCAUCAAAGAGAUGGCUAAGCAGUUAGGAUCUACCAGCCAGAUGGCCUAGAAAAAUAAAUUUUAAAAAAUAGCUUUAAAUAUAAUAUUAGCAGAAAAAGGAGAUGUUUGUGUCGUAAUUAAAACUCAAUCUUGGAACCUCUGCAGAAAAAAAUUGAUUCCUCGGCAGUGUCAUGAAAGCAAACCAGUUAAUAAAGCUACAAAAUUAAUGGCUCAAUUGUAACACAGUGGUGAUGCGUCUAAUUCCCCACAAAGACCAAUAAAUUAAAUGUCUUAUACAAAACUCAAUAUUGUACCUUUUUUCCUAAUAAUACUGCCCUUGAUGGAACUAUAGCAAAAGCGCUACAAAGGUUAACAGCCCUAUCCAAUAAACUUGCCUCAGGAGGUCCUGACCAGACAUGUGCCCAAGGUGGUCAGAGCACAGUUUGGUUUUACACAUUUUAGGGAGACAUGAGACAUCAAUCAACAUAUGUAAGAUGACCAUUGGUUAGGUCUGGAAAGCCAGGAGGGAGCUUCCAGGUCAUAUACAGAUAAGAAACAGAUGGUUGCAUUCUUUUGAGUUUCUGAUGAGCCUCUCUAAAGGAGGCAAUCAGAUAUGCAUUUAUCUUAGUGAGCUUCAGAUAAUGGGAGGCAGGUUUGGACUAAGCAGUUCCCAGCUUCACUCUUCCCUUUAGCUUAGUAAUUUUGGGGCCCCAAUAUUUAUUUUCCUUUCACAAUGCAUAAGUAUUAGGCCACAGAAACAGCAAAGUCUUAACAGAAAUGGUGAAAUCUUACUAAAGAUAAGUUAUCAUGGAAGGUUCCAAAUAAACAACACUGCACUGAAGAAAUGCAUUUGAAAAAUAGGGCUCCCAAAUUAGUCUCAUCUAGGGAUGUCUAUUGAUAUUCAGAAGCUUCUAAAAAGAUUUCAAUAUUUUUAUUUAAAGAUUUUAUGAAAGGCAAAUAAAAAGCUUAAGAAACUAAUUGAUAAGAAAAAUUAAAUCUGUUAAUCUUUGCUUAGUUACUAUUCCACCCUAAAGGUAGAAAGAAAGCUAUCCUAGAUAAGGUAUUUAUAAAAGUUAAGCCCUCAGGUAAAAUAGACUUGCUUCUUGUUCAGACCUAUCCAUGCGGGAGGCCAGGCAUAGAGGAUGCUUUCUUGGCUCUGUUCCAUAAUGAGUUCCCCCUUGAACUCAGUAAUUUUAACCAAGAGACAGUGGCUACAUUAAAAAGAACACCCUAUUGAAAUAAAAUGCACCUUUCUGGAAUUUAAUUGGCUACUUUGAAACUCUUUUGUAUAAGAAAUUUCCAUCUAUAAAAGAAAUCUCAAUUUUUAAGGAUGUCUGCCUACAUACAAUAGAAACUCUAACCAUUCUUUUAAAUUUAAAUAAUAAGUAAUGCCUUUGUUUAAGGUGCUUUUCUAUCUUAAGUGAACUUUUACUUGAGCAAUUUUUUUUUCUCCUUGAUUUGAACAAAUAAUGAAUCAAUACUUAGGCUGAGAAUCUUAGCUCUGUGCUUAUGAAAUAUACAUCCUUUUUGUUACACCUAAGAGUUGUCCCUUUAGAAAUGCAAAUUUGUUGCUGAGUUAACAAUUGCUUAGGGAAAUGAAACAGGUAAUAGAAAGAUUGAUACACCAAAUGGAGAAAAGAAAAAAGUAUUUUAAAACUGGCAAAAGCUAUAAGAUCUGCUUCUGUUUGUUUGUAUGUCUAUAUGUGUUAUGUGUAUGUGAUAUCUGGUAAAUAAAGAUAGUUUUUAAUUUAUUGGUAAAAUAGAAAUGUCUUCAAAAUUAUCAGUUGAAUAUAAUUAGAUACCCACUUGAUUUGACUGUGAGCUUAUGUCUUUGGUUUAGAGUCUCUGGAUUCAGGGGUCUGGAUAGGUGGCCAUGAUGACAUCUGGAGACACGUUCUUAGAGUCUAGACCACCAGCUACAAGCCCAAUAUGGCCUCUUCCUCCUCUGCUUUCCCUGUUUUGCCUCCUGGCUAUUGUGGGAGCGGUUGGAUCCUCCAAGUAUAGUCUUCACAGCUCUGGCUUCUGUCCUGAUGGACUCAGGCCCCGAUGUUCAUAGUCCUCAUGGGGGGCACAUGGCUUCUUGGGACUUAGAAUGACUGGGAAGAGACAUUAGGGAGGCUGCCUGUGUCAUAGCUUCAAAAUUCUUUUCAGUAAUUUAAAAUCCUAGAGUCAUGUUAUGUUUAAUUAAGUAAUAAAAAAAUUCACAAAAUGAGUCGUGUUCAAGUUAAGAUACUGAAAUAUUCAUUAUUACACAUGCAUUUAAGUCUAUAUACCUUGACAUAUUAUUUCUAUAUAGUAUAGAAAAGUAAAUAUAUUUAGAUCUGAUAAUAAAAAAUAAUUUGAAGAACUAUCUCUCUAAAAAAUUAUAAAAUGCUUUUUAUCUACAAAUAACUGAUAUGAAACAGUUCAAAAUUACUUUCUAGAGUUUUCACUAGAAAUAAGGGUUACUAACAGUUAAAAACUACUGUCAGAAGUGUUUGAACCUGAGCAAAUCCAUCUUGAAUAAGGGCUUCGUAAAAUGAGGCUAAGACCUACUGGGCUGCAUUCCCAGAAAAUUAAGUCAUUCUCAGUCACAGGAUGAGAAAGAGGUUGGCACAAGAUACAGGUCUUAAAGACCUUGCUGAUAAAACAGCUUGCAGUAAAGAAGCUAAGACCCACCAAAACCAAGAUGGUGAUGAGAGUGAUCUCUGGUUGUCCUCACUGCUACACUCCCAUUAGCACCAUGACAGUUUACAAAUGCCAUGGCAACAUCAGGAAGUUACCCCAAUAACCCUCUGUUGGGUCCUGGAUUGGGACUCCUUUCCUGUAGCAUCUUUCUGGUGACCACUAAAGGGACUAUAGUGCAGAAAACCCCCACCCAAAAGAUAACUGGUAAGUGGUAGGGGCCAGUAAUAUCUUUCUGGUGAACACUGAGGGGACAAUACUGAAGAAACCCCCUGACCCAAAGGAAAUAGACUACAGCACUGAUUGGCCAACUUUGGGUAAGUGGUGGGGUACCCAGGUAAAGGGUGGAAUUGGGUUAGAGGCCAAACUUAGGGGAGUCAGAGUCUCUCCUAAGACAGAGUGGGUUAGCGCACACUUGAUAAAAGGCAAGGACACUUUACCCACCUUGGGUUAAAGGCCCAGCUUAGGAGGGUUAGAGUCCCUCUGAAGAUUUAAGGAGUUAGAAGCCUGUUUCAGUAAAGUCCCUUUUGGCUAAGAAUGGGUUUGGUAUUAUGAGAUGUUAACUGCUAUUCUCUUUGGAUUAAUCAGCCUUGAACUCUUUGCUGACGUCUGUGGGCAUGUAUAGAAUUGUGGGACAUGGGGAGCUUUCUCCUCCUUAAAAGGGGAAACUCAAGAGCUCGUGAGACUGCUGGAAAAUAGCCCUUUGCUACUGACAAGCAGCCGCCUGAAAUUUUCAGUGUCACUGCAAUGGGUGCAUCUUUCUCUGGCUUCCCUGAGCACCUCACCUUCCCCACCCUGCCUCAAGCAAUGCUUCCUCUCUCUCUCUGUCUCUCUCUCUCUCUUUCUUUCUCUCUCUCUCUCUGUGCAAACUGGUUGAAUGAAUGGUAAAAAGCAUUGUUUAUCUCCUCUGUAAAGUUUAGAUUAAUGGAAAACAGGAUUUGUGAGGCUAGUCCUAAGCUAUAGUGAAUCUGGCGUGCUUUGUGUGUCUUUCUGUAUUGUUCUGCCAUAAAGAGCGGUAUGGUAGGAUGGAACAUGGGCUUAGGACACCAGUAAGCCCACUGUUCAAGAUGGCCCAGCAAACUGGUCAGUUAUAAAUUUUGCGGCAGGUCCCUAAAAACAAAACUGGAUGAGAUUUCCCUCUUGUCUUGUAUAUCUUGGGGAGCCUGACCUUGCAGCCAUGUAGUGAUACUUUCUCUUUUCACAGUGGUGGCCCAGGUUCAGGGUUCAAUUCCUGGCUUAGGGAAUGAGUCCUUUAUCUUAUUUUGUCUGUGUAUUUAUAUAUGUUGUGUGUGUAAUUUAAAAGAGCUUUAAUUAAAUGGUUUAAUAAUAAGAGCUUACAUCAAAUACUUGAUCAGAAAAGUAAAACGUGUAAUAUCUUUUAUUUAGUUCACAUGAUUUAAGUAAUCUUUGGGAUAUAAAGACAGUUUUAAAGAUUAUUGGUAAAAUAAAAAUCUUUAAAAUGUAAACAUUUGGUCUAAAUUAUGUGGGUCAGAUAUUAGGUUUUCUAAGUGAUUUAAGGUCAUAAACUGCUUCUUUGACUUUUGAAAAUUGUUCAUUUUACCUACUUUGGAGCUUUGGAUUCUAGAUAAGCCCUAGAACCAUGUGGAGCUAGCCACACUCACUAGCUAUGCUGGAAAGAGUCGGAUCUUAUCUGCACUUCUGUCUGGGUCCUAGGCUCCACACCUGGUACAUAGUUCAAAUCACUUACUAACCAGGUUUUUCACCAAAAAUAAAAGUUGCUAAGAGUUAACAUUGUAUGCACUCCAGCCUGGCAACAAAGCAAGACUCUGUCUGAAAAAAAAAAAAAAGAGUUGACAUUAUAACAUGUAAUUGAGACUACUGAAGAAACAGCUUUAUGUUCAAGGUGUGUAAGGAAAGUAGAAUGUACAUUUGAUAAAAGAUUAUAAGAAGGCAUGGGAAUAUGGAUUUCUUCCCUAAGUUUAGAGAGUUAAAGGACUGUUUUAAGUUAGGAUAAAGCUGAAGGGUUAAGCAAGUUGUUAAAGGUCUGUGAAAUAUCAAUCUCAUAGAAGAAAUUAUCUGUGUGAACAUAUUGACUAAAAUUAAAGGGAUGAUAUUCAGUUUUUUGAUAAAUUGAACAUUGGAAUAAAAGCACAACAGGUUUUUCUUAGAGCAAAAACCUGCUUAUAAUCUGCUGUUUAACCAAAAUUUUUAAAUGGUUAUAAAAGGUUUAUUAAAAUCUUACCUCAUGGUCAAACUGAUUAAGAUUAAAUACAUUUGUCUAUAAGGUUUUAUUAAGAUUUGGGUUUAACAUAAAUAGUACAUUAAUGUAAAGGUGAAAUUUGGCUUAUUGGGUACAAAAAUCAUGCAGGAAGUACUGCCAAAUAUGAAAUGGUGUUUGGCUUUCUUUGGGCUAUAUUUGAAUAAAUAUGUUUUUGGUAUGUAAUCCAAAAUAAUGGGAAACUCCUAUAAUUCUGAUAUGACAGUAUAUGUUAUUAAUAAUUAUAAUCAUUAUAUAAAUUUUUGUAUGCCACAAAAAUAACCAAAUUUCCUUAUCACUUGUGGCUUUAAUAGUGGCUGUCCUAAGACUUUUUAUAAUCCACAUACAAUUGUUGUCUUGUUUUGGUCCUCUUUAAAAGGUGGUUUUAUAAUCAACUAUAGGACUUUAACAGGUGCAUUUAAAUGGAGAUUUUCUGAUAACUUUGGAGAUUGUGACAUUAGAAUAGAGAAAACUUUCAGAACUCUCAUAGCUGAAAUGUUCAUGAAUAUCAAACAGAACUGCAUGGACUGAAGUAAUGGAAGCUAUUUAUAGCUUUUAACAAUUGAAUAUAUGCCUGUGAACCAAAUUUGAAGCAUAUUUGUUUCUCUCUACCUAAUUUCCCCAAAAUUUGGAAACUAUUUGUGAGUAUUCUUAAUUUAUGGCAAUAUAAUUAUUUGCAUAAGUGCAAUACAAAUCUGUUUUAUUUUCCAUCAGGACAAAAUUGGAGAAACUGGUUAUUUUAUGGAGGCUUUAACUGGAAUAGCAUGCUUUCCUUUAAGGAAUCAAAUUUGACUUGUGGAGCCAAUGAAAGCCCCUUGAGGAACCGGCCUCAGGCUUUGCCUACACAGUCCCUGUACAGGGUUUCUGCCCUGUGAACCCAAAGACUGGCUCUUCUGAGAACAUCAGAAAGACUGCCCUGGCUAUCCACGUUGAAGCAAAACUUUGGGACUUUUAACCUUGCGUUCAUAAUCUCACAACUCAGUAGGGUCCCUCCGCACUGUUGGAACUGCAUACCUAUUGGAAACCUUCAGGUAAAGCUAAUCAGGGAAGUUUCUCCCCGAAAGAAGAUGGCAUCCAUGAUGUGAACAACUUUUUCUGAAGAUCAUGGAGCAAGACUUCUCUACUAUCAUACAACCCCUAUCUUUCAAUUUUUUUCCUUAUCUAUCCAUUUUUUUCCUAUGUUUAUGCCUCUAUGAACAAUAGAAGUGAAAAGGGGAUCUGUUGUGUGCACUCAUAGGGUUACAAUUUUAUUUGUGAAGGAUUUUGCAGCCAGUCUUAUACAUGGAUAACCUUAAACCUUGAUAGAUGGAAGAUAAAGACCCAAUGUAUGUGAGAAAUUUUAAUGGUACAUACAUAACCUCAUAGUCAGUCAGAAACAGAACAUUGGUCCACUCCUCUUAACCUACAUCAUGUGUUAAAGAGAAUAUUGCCAGAUGAUCUUCACCCUUCUAGAAGGGCUUCAUUCGUUAGGUCCUUUUUUCCAUGUAUUGGAGUAAAUGAGGCAAUUUAUCCCUCAUGAUAGGCUCUGUAGGAGAUCCUACUAUAAAGGCUGUGACUACACAACAGACUUGAAAUUAUCUUGUGAAAGUUAUGCUAAAUAAUAGAAUUGCUCUAAGUUACUUACUGGCUAAACAGAGAAGUAUCUGGCACUUCUUGUUGCCCAUGGAGAAACUUAUCACAUGGGAUAGUAUAAAGAAUCAGUUAUAAGGGAUUAUCGAAGAGACUACUUAAUUGAAGUGAGUAGACUCUUUGUCUAGCUCAUUCUUUGAUCUAUUUGAUUUUAGUUGGUUUGGUUUAAGGGGACCCUGGCUAAGGAACAUACUGCAAACUCUUGGUGUUAUUCUCCUGAUAGUCAUCAUAGUAGUCUCCCUGGUACACUGUAUUCUUGCAAAAUUUUAAAUGUUUGCAGGCAGCUAUCUCUAGAAGUCAAAUGGUCUCUCUUCAAUUGGAAUAACAAGAGCUGAAAGAAAUGUGUGAACAUAAGCGCACCAUAACCUCUGAAUUACAUGCUGAGAUCAGAAACUCAAAAUGAUGGUAACUGAGAGUGGUGCUGAGGCCCUAAAUUUUGGUCACACUCUCACCUAAGUAAGAACCUGACCAGAAUGGGGCACUUUCAGGGGAGGCCAUUGUUUUGGUCUGAGCUCAUGCACUAGGCCCCAGCAGAACAGACCAAAAUAAAAUGAAGUCACUUAUGCUGAAUGUGACAUAAUCAAACUAAGACUUUAAGGAAACACAUAGAUCCUAGAACAGAUCAGGUUUUGUUUUUUCCUGUACACAGGACAUUUCAGGAUAAGGAGGUACCCUCUACACAACUCUUGCAAAAAACAAUCUAAAGUCCUUGUUUCCACCUGCAAAACACACUGUUCUGCUAUUUCCCAUUGAGUUUCAAGAUGAAAUAAGUACAUUUACAAUGAUGAUAGUGACAUCAAUGACUACAGUUUUGGUCAUCCUCUCAAACUCAAAAUAAUUCACAAAUCAUUAUUGCCCAAUUAAAACUUUUAAAUUUAAUUUGGCUAAAGCUUUUAUUUUAAUAAUGUAUAAAAUGUGAAUAAAAAUAGUACAUACCCUAUAGGAUUGUCAUGAACCUUAAAAAGUAUGCUAAAUGUAUGUUAAACAGACAAGUGCCUGAUUCUUGGUAAACACUAUGUUCUGAUUUAUGGUUGCUAUUAUUUUUAUAAUUGUUUAUACCAGAUUGAAAGAAUAAAUUAUUAAGAGAAAAACUUUGGCUGAAUUAAAUUUAAGAGAGUUUAAUUGAGCAAAGAUCAAUUCGUGAAUCGGGCAGCCUCCCAAGCCAGAGUAGGUUCAAAGACUCUAGCAAAGUCACGUGACAGAAGAAGAUUUAUGGACAGAAAAAGGAAAGUGAUAUAUAGAAAACGGAAGUGAGGUACAGAAACAGCCAGAUUGGCUACAGCUCAGCAUUUGCCUUAUUUGAACACAGUUGGAACAGUUGGCUACCUUUGAUUGGUCAAAACUCAAUGAUUGGCACAAGAGCUGCUACAGUCUAUUUACAACUUGAUAUGGUUUGGCUGUGUCCUCACCCAAAUCUCAUCUUGAAUUGUAGCUCCCAUAAUUUCUACUUGUUGUGGGAGGGACCUGGUGGGAGAUAAUUGAAUCAUGAGGGUGGUUUUUCCCAUACUGUUCUCAUGAUAAUGAAUAAGUCUCAUAAGAUGUGAUUAUUUUGUAAGAGGUUUUCCUUUUUGCUUGGCUCUCUCAUUCUGUCUUAUUUGUCACCAUGUAAGAUGUGCCUUUUGCCUUCCACCAUGAGUAUGAGGCCUCCCCAGCCACAUGGAACUGUGAC